rnacentral:lncRNA from 1 species
GCCAAGAAGUAUGUUUCCCCCACCUCCUAUCAAAGACUGUGUCCCUAAUUUUAAAAGUCUAACGGUGCUAGUCUCUUUCUGGAUUCAUCUAUGCUAUGCCUGGACUCUCUCUGCCACAGAAACUCAGGGCCUCCCCCAACCAUCAUUCUCAGUAAGCUGACACAGGAACAGAAAAACAAGCACAGCAUGUUCUCAUUCGUAAGUGGGAAUUGAACAAUGAUAACACAUGAACACAGGUAGGUAAAUAUCACACACUGGGGCCUGUUGAGGGGUGAGGGGCUAGGGGAAAGCUAGCCAGGUGAGGGCGAGAGGAGAUGGAUUGAAGGAGGCUCCUGAGUCAUAUGACACGUGGCCCAUGCAGUGGAAAGGGACCCC